rnacentral:rRNA from 1 species
AGGGUUUGAUCCUGGCUCAGGAUGAACGCUAGCGGCAGGCUUAAUACAUGCAAGUCGAGGGGCAGCAGGGAUAGCAAUAUUCGCUGGCGACCGGCGCACGGGUGCGUAACACGUAUACAAUCUGCCUUUUACUGGGGGAUAGCCUUUCGAAAGAGAGAUUAAUACCCCAUAAUAGAUUGCUCGGCAUCGAGUGAUUUUGAAAGCUCCGGCGGUAAGAGAUGAGUGUGCGUCUGAUUAGCUAGUAGGUGAGGUAACGGCUCACCUAGGCCACGAUCAGUAGGGGAUCUGAGAGGACUAACCCCCACACGGAUACUGAGACACGGAUCCGACUCCUACGGGAGGCAGCAGUAAGGAAUAUUGGACAAUGCCCGCAAGGGUGAUCCAGCCAUGCCGCGUGCAGGAAGACGGCCCUAUGGGUUGUAAACUGCUUUUAUACAAGAGAAAACCUCCCUACGUGUAGGGAGCUGAUAGUAUUGUAGGAAUAAGCAUCGGCUAACUUCGUGCCAGCAGCCGCGGUAAGAC